GAGUUUGAUCUUGGCUCAGAUUGAACGCUGGCGGCAGGCCUAACACAUGCAAGUCGAGCGGUAGAGAGAAGCUUGCUUCUCUUGAGAGCGGCGGACGGGUGAGUAAUGCCUAGGAAUCUGCCUGGUAGCGGGGGAUAACGCUCGGAAACGGACGCUAAUACCGCAUACGUCCUACGGGAGAAAGCAGGGGACCUUCGGGCCUUGCGCUAUCAGAUGAGCCUAGGUCGGAUUAGCUAGUUGGUGAGGUAAUGGCUCACCAAGGCGACGAUCCGUAACUGGUUUGAGAGGAUGAUCAGUCACACUGGAACUGAGACACGGUCCAGACUCCUACGGGAGGCAGCAGUGGGGAAUAUUGGACAAUGGGCGAAAGCCUGAUCCAGCCAUGCCGCGUGUGUGAAGAAGGUCUUCGGAUUGUAAAGCACUUUAAGUUGGGAGGAAGGGCAGUAAAUUAAUACUUUGCUGUUUUGACGUUACCGACAGAAUAAGCACGGCUAACUCUGUGCCAGCCGCCG
rnacentral:rRNA from 1 species